AAAGUGAGACCACGGACAGAGCCGGUUAGACAAGGAAAGCUGAGGAGUUAUGGAGGAGGAGCCGACCAUGGCCUCCGGCCGGCCUCCUCACCCUGGUUACGCACUUGCCCGGUUAUGAUCGUAGUGGUGUCGCACGAAGACGUGGAUUUCCUCCCACCGGCUGCUCCGUUGUGAAAGGGGGAGUCGCCAGCUACAGACGACGGCGCCAUUGCUGUUCUCCGACGACACACCUCUUUUGGCACGUUCACCACUAUUUUCUACAGAUCGAGAAUCAACGACGACGACGGUUGUUUCCGGCCACUCCCGUUCGUAGUGUAUGCUGAAAACCCUAGCUGAUGAUUAGAGAUGACAUCCAAAUGAAGAACUGGAGUCUGGAACAAUAAGCAUGUAUCUUUACAUCCCCGACAUUAUUGUAGCUGCAGCUGUAUACAUGGAUUAUAAAGUCAACUUACGGAUGGUGACUUCCUAUUAAUUUCUUAGUAGCUGAAAAUGGUUAACUGAUCAGCUAUCGACGCUCAGAUCAAAUGUUCCCAAAAUAAGCAAGGUGGAUGGAUAAAGAUCAAUACUGGGGCUACAAUACGGAUACCCCGAUCCAGAUUUGUUGUUCGAUGAAACGAGGACCGUUAUCAACAAGAUAACAAUGAGCACACUUGAAGCACUUGGUUUAGACAUUCAACAAUGGGUCAUCAGUUAUUUUAAUGGUUGUUUAUUUCAAAGUUCAUAUUCUAAGGUGGUUUCUAUUAAAAAUGUGCAUCUCUUUAUCUAUCUUGACUAUAUAUGCACAU
rnacentral:lncRNA from 1 species